GCGUUGGUGGUGCAACGGUUCAACACGCGUUCCCGGAAAGAGUGAGAUUUGGGUUCGAGUCCCGGCUGACACA